ACUCCUACGGGGAGGCAGCAGUGGGGAAUAUUGCGCAAUGGGGGAAACCCUGACGCAGCAACGCCGCGUGAAGGAUGAAGGUUUUCGGAUUGUAAACUUCUUUGAUUGGGGACGAAGAAAUGACGGUACCCAAAAAACAAGCCACGGCUAACUACGUGCCAGCAGCCGCGGUAAUACGUAGGUGGCGAGCGUUGUCCGGAAUUACUGGGUGUAAAGGGCGUGUAGGCGGGAAUGUAAGUCAGAUGUGAAAUUCCAGGGCUCAACCCUGGCGCUGCAUCUGAAACUAUGUUUCUUGAGUG
rnacentral:rRNA from 1 species